UUCGUAGGCGGUGUGGCAAGUUGGGAGUGAAAUCUCUGGGCUCAACCCAGAGACGGCUUCCAAAACUGCCGUGCUUGAGUGUGGGAGAGGCUCGUGGAAUUGCAGGUGUAGCGGUGAAAUGCGUAGAUAUCUGCAGGAACACCCGUGGCGAAAGCGGCGAGCUGGACCACUACUGACGCUGAAGAACGAAAGCUAGGGGAGCAAACAGGAUUAGAUACCCUGGUAGUCCUAGCCCUAAACGAUCAGGACUUGGGGUGCCACCCGUUCGGGUGGCGUCCCGGAGCUAACGCGUUAAGUCCUGCACCUGGGGAGUACGGUCGCAAGACUGAA
rnacentral:rRNA from 1 species